rfam:Escherichia hermannii NBRC 105704 DNA, contig: EH10570402.
ACGUCACGAUAUGAAGUUUACAUCAGGAAGAUGUUGCUUCAGCCAGGGAACACACCAGGAUGGUGCUUCAGGGAAGGCUUCAGGACGAAGCAAGGAUAACGCAAGGGCGCGUUAAAGGACACCUCCAGGAGGGAGAACGAGAGCCGGUCGGGAUGUUCGGUGGAUCAGGACGAUCAGGGAUUCAGCGCCAGGAAGGUGCAAAUAAGCUGUCAUGAUGAUGGCGUGCAGGAUGCAUAAAUAAGGACGUUGAGCUCUUGAGCUCACAGGAAAAGUUGUCAAGGAUGAGCAGGGAGCAACAAAAGUAGCCGGACUGCUGCGAAACGAACCGGGAGCACUGUUUUUACAGUGCUCCCUUUUUUUAUU